GAUGAACGCUGGCGGCGUGCCUAAUACAUGCAAGUAGAACGCUGAAGGAAGGAGCUUGCUCUUUCCGGAUGAGUUGCGAACGGGUGAGUAACGCGUAGGUAACCUGCCUGGUAGCGGGGGAUAACUAUUGGAAGCGAUAGCUAAUACCGCAUAACAGUAGAUGUUGCAUGAUAUCUACUUAAAAGGUGCAAUUGCACCACUACCAGAUGGACCUGCGUUGUAUUAGCUAGUUGGUGAGGUAACGGCUCACCAAGGCGACGAUACAUAGCCGACCUGAGAGGGUGAUCGGCCACACUGGGACUGAGACACGGCCCAGACUCCUACGGGAGGCAGCAGUAGGGAAUCUUCGGCAAUGGACGGAAGUCUGACCGAGCAACGCCGCGUGAGUGAAGAAGGUUUUCGGAUCGUAAAGCUCUGUUGUAAGAGAAGAACGAGUGUGAGAGUGGAAAGUUCACACUGUGACGGUAUCUUACCAGAAAGGGACGGCUAACUACGUG
rnacentral:rRNA from 1 species